GACGAACCGUGCGAACGUUAUUCGGAAUCACUGGGCUUAAAGCGCGUGUAGGCGGAUCGGCACGUCGGUCGCUGAAAUCCCCCGGCUCAACCGGGGAACGGGCGCCGAUACGACCGGUCUGGAGGAACGUAGGGGGACCGGGAACUUCCGGUGUAGCGGUGAAAUGCGUAGAUAUCGGAAGGAACAUCAGUGGCGAAGGCGACUUCCUGGACCAAUACUGACACUCAAGUGCGAAAGCGUGGG
rnacentral:rRNA from 1 species